UAAAGCGCCAGGCCUGGAGUCAGGAUAGACCUAAGUUCAAGUCCGGACCCUGGCGCUUAUU
rnacentral:pre_miRNA from 1 species